AUGACUGGCUGCAGAUUAUUGAACCAAAAAUUGUUGUUUGGACUUGGUUGCUUAGGAUUUAUGGUGAUCCUUGUGGAUAGAUAUUCUGACAUUGUAACUAGUACUAUACAACUAGGCUCGCUGGUUCAUUCUCUUUGUGUCUGUUCAAUUAUCGUUUGGUUUUCGUUGAGGUGCCAACUAUAUUCCUUUGUUCAUCAAAUUUCAGUUGACAAAAAGGCGGGAGAUAAACAUUCAACCUUCAAUUCCUAUUUAGUCAUAUUUCUUUUAACUGUGAAAAGGAGUUCCCAUUUUAGUCAUUCCUUUUAA
rnacentral:rRNA from 1 species